rnacentral:lncRNA from 1 species
GUCACUUUUUAAGGAAAACUGAAAUAUGGAUUUGAUUUUGCUUUAUACUACACACCUUCACUGGGCCUUGAGGUAGCCAUGGUGUAGACUAAACAGAAAGUGUAGACUAAACAACUGACUUGGCCACAGCACAGCCUUGGGUGAGAGGAGUGGGGGAGGUAACAGGUGGAGUCUGGAGGAGCUUCUGUGGGAGGCCUCCCUGGGCGGAGUCAGCCGGGCAGGCAGGGCACCUGGGACUCCACUGCCGGGUCUAGGCCAAUCCCAGUUUCCCCGUUCCAGUGGGGAGAGGAGACUGACCCCGGGGAGUCCCUGGAAAAAGCCUGGAGAGAGACACAGAGGUGACCUGGGAAAUGCAUUGCCUCACACGGAGGUCCUCUCAGGCCCUCGGGAAGUGUGUGGACAGCAUCCAAACCGGAGGCCAGAAAAGUGAUGACAUCUGAGCAACAAGAAGCAGGGGCUGAUCGUGUCCGUGGAAGAAUGAGGGGAUACUGCAGGGGAAUGAAGAGAAGAAGGUGACUGAAUCCAGGAGGGGAGACACCUUCCCGUUCCUCCUCCCAGCCUUGGAGCAAGUGUGGGGAGCGGGGCUGUCUGCAUUCCUCCCUUUCAGCCUCCCACCCUGAACCUAUUUCUCACUUUGUUUCACAUGAUAGGAACAUGAUGGCAUUUCCUGUAACUCACCAUGUCAGCAAAUGCAGCUACUGCCAAUUCACAAAACUGCUUUCCUCAGGUCAGUGGGCCAAAUGGGCCCCAGCUCCACCAAGGCAUUGCCUUGGCCUGCCACUGCACAGCAACACGGGCCUCCUGCGCUCAGAGGGUCCCAGGGAAACACAGAGUGACAGUGGGUUCAGUUCCUGUCACCUCCCCUCAGGUGACUUUGUGACCAUGGUCAACAUGUGACCUCAGUUUCUUCAUUUCUUAGAGAGGGUGCAGGCCACCUUCCCAGGGCUGUUGUGAGGGCCCAUGAGAUGGCGGUGCUAGUGCAGUGUCUCACACUCUGAAUCUUAAAGAUAUUCUUUGAGCAUCUGCUGUGUCACAGCCACUGUCCUAGAAGCCGAGGGUAUAAUGGCCAAACAGCCCCAGCCCAGUCCGCAGAGGGCUGUAUCCUAUAAGGGAAAAAGGCAAUAAAGAGCCACUGCUGUAUACUAAGGACAGGCGGGGGAGGUGGAGUAAGAAAUACAGGUUCUGCUAAGAGCUGAAUUACCAUUCGACCCUGCAAUCCCAUUACUGAGUAUAUACUCAAAACAAAAUAAAUCAUCCUACCAAAAAGACACAUGUACUCACACGUUCAUCACAGCACUAUUCACAAUUGCAAAGACAUGGAACCAACCCAGGUGCCCAGUAACAGUGAACCGGAUAAAGAAAAUGUGAUAUAUGGACACCAUGCAAUACUCUGCAGCCAUAGAAAGGGACAAAAUCAUGUCCUUUGCAGCAACAUGGAUGCAGCUGCAGGUCAUUACCCUAAGCAAACUAAUUCAGAAACAGAAACCAAGCAUCACAUGUUCUCACUUAGAAAUGAGAGCUGAACACUGGGUACACAUGGACAUAAAGAUGAGAACAGACACCAGGGACUCCUGGGGGGUGGAGAGGGAGGGAGGAAGGCAAGGGUUGAAAAACUACCUAUUGGGUACCAUGCUUGGUUCCUGGGUGACAAGUUCAAUCACACUCCAAUCCUCAGCAUCACACAAUACACCUUUGUAAGAAACCUGCAUACGCAAUCCUGGAAUCUAAAAUAAAAG